rnacentral:rRNA from 1 species
AGUGAACGCUGGCGGUAGGCCUAACACAUGCAAGUCGAACGGCAGCACAGGAGAGCUUGCUCUCUGGGUGGCGAGUGGCGGACGGGUGAGGAAUACAUCGGAAUCUGCCCAGUCGUGGGGGAUAACGUAGGGAAACUUACGCUAAUACCGCAUACGACCUUCGGGUGAAAGAGGGGGAUCGCAAGACCUCUGGCGAUUGGAUGAGCCGAUGUCGGAUUAGCGAGUUGGCGGGGUAAUGGCCCACCAAGGCGACGACCCGUAGCUGGUCUGAGAGGAUGACCAGCCACACUGGAACUGAGACACGGUCCAGACUCCUACGGGAGGCAGCAGUGGAGAAUAUUGGGCAUUGGGCGCAAGCCUGAUCCAGCCAUGCCGCGUCGGUGAAGAAGGCCUUCGGGUUGUAAAGCCCUUUUGUUGGGAAAGAAAUCUUUCAGGCUAAUACCCUGGGAGGAUGACGGUACUCAACGAGUAAGCACCGGCUAACUUCGUG